GUGAGCCGUAUCGCGAAGCUCUUGAUCGAAGCCCCGGUAAACGGCGGCCGUAACGAUAACGGUCCUAAGGUAGCGAAAUUCCUUGUCGGGAAAGUUCCGACCUGCACGAAUGGAGUAAUUAUGGCCAGGCUGUCUCUACCCGAGACUCAGUGAAAUUGAACUCGCUGUGAAUAUGCAGUGUACCCGCGUCAAGUCGGAAAGACCGCGUGAACCUUUACUAUAGCUUGAUACUGAACAUUGAGCCUUGAUGUGUCGGAUAGGUGGGAGGCUUUGAACUGUGGACGCCAGUCUGCAUGGA
rnacentral:rRNA from 1 species